rnacentral:rRNA from 1 species
AGGACGAACGCUGGCGGCGUGCUUAACACAUGCAAGUCGAGCGAGGCCCUUCCUUCGGGAAGGUGCCCUAGCGGCGAACGGGUGAGUAACACGUGGGCAACCUGCCCCUAGCACUGGGAUAACUCCGGGAAACCGGGGCUAAUACCGGAUAUGACCUUUGAGGGCAUCCUCGAAGGUGUAAAGGAUUCUGGCUAGGGAUGGGCCCGCGGCCUAUCAGCUUGUUGGUGGGGUAACGGCCUACCAAGGCGACGACGGGUAGCCGGCCUGAGAGGGCGACCGGCCACACUGGGACUGAGACACGGCCCAGACUCCUACGGGAGGCAGCAGUGGGGAAUAUUGCACAAUGGGCGAAAGCCUGAUGCAGCGACGCCGCGUGAGGGAUGACGGCCUUCGGGUUGUAAACCUCUUUCAGCAGGGACGAAGCGAAAGUGACGGUACCUGCAGAAGAAGCACCGGCCAACUACGCGCCAGCAGCCGC